AUCAACACCGACACCACCAAGAAGUUCGCUCUGAUUGGACAGAUAAUGACCACCACACUCCAAACCUUCUGUCAGGGAGUUCUGGACGGAACCGUGAAGUCUCACCUGCUGAGCGAGGAGGUACCAGAGGACUGGGAUAAAGGACCCGUUAAAGUUCUGGUCGGGAAGAACUUUGAGGCUGUCGCCCUCGACAACAACAAGAAUGUCUUCGUAGAGUUCUAUGCCCCAUGGUGCGGUCACUGUAAGGAGCUGGCUCCUGUCUGG